rnacentral:lncRNA from 1 species
GCCUGGAACCUUCUGAGUGCAUGAGCUUCCACACCAGCUUUCCCCUCUGCCUUCUUCCCCUCUUCCCUCCUCUCCCCUCCUCAGCACCAGCUUCCCCUCUCCUCCUACCUCCCCUCCUGCUCCAACUGCCAUCCUUGUUGCUUAGCCCUUUCCCUAACAGACGCACCCUAUGUCCCUCCCCUCCCUUCCACCUCCUCUGCAUUUAAAUGAAGCUCUCUCCAGCACCUCCAGCUCUCUCUCCAGCACCUCCAGCUUAGGAGAUGGGGAAACUGAGGCAGACCCCAGUGCAGAUGUUUCUUUCCUGCUGGGAACAAUUAAAGACCCUCAGAGCUGAGAAGGAAGCAGAUAAAUGAUGGGGGCAUGCAUGCAGAUGUAUGUGGAUCCCCAGUCUGCCUCAUUACUUCACAGCAGAGACGCUUCUGGAGCCUGUUUUCCCAUUUGUGGGAUGGGGAUGGAACACGCUGUCAGUGCAUGCUCCAGGACGCCGGGAGAUGCCAGGAAGGGCCUGUGACAGGCAGAGCCACCAGGAUCUAUCCGAGCAGCAGGAGCAGACUGGGGGAGAGUGGCCAGGGGGGUCCUGGGAGGCAAAGGUGGGGAGAUGGGCAGUGAGGAGGGGGGAGGGGAGGAAGACAGGAGGACCCACCUCCCACAGGAGGCCCCCACCCAGCAGGAUUGAUCUUCCCAUAGAUCCUGCGGGAGCUGGAGCCAGGGCUGGCUGGGCGCUGGGCAGAGAGAGGAGGGCCAAGGCCAGCAGAGGGGAAGGGAGGCCCUGGUCGCCAAACCCUGGAGCUGGGUCCCUGGGCUGGAGGAGGGGUGGGUCUAGCUACCUGGCUGAGCAGCCCACUUUCCCUGUGCUCCUCAGAAUUUCCUGGACUCAGCUUGCCCACAGCAGAGGCAGGUGUAGGGCAGGGCCUGGGCUAAACAUCUUCCUUUAUUUGGAGACAGGGUCUCACCAGGUUGCCAAAUCACAUGGGCUGAGCUUGAACUUGAGAUCCUCCUGCCUCAGCCUUCCCCAGUGCUGGAAUAACAGGUCCCAUGUGAACACUACGACAGAUUCUAUGAGGGACUUGAGCACCCGGGGAGCUUUCUCCCUCAGAUACCAAGGACCAUGUGUGACCAUCCUGGCAGACAGGAAGUCGAUUCUCCUGCUGACAGUGUCCCUGGAGAGGACCCCAUGACCAGAAGAGUGGGCACCCUCCCCUUGCCGAGAGUGAUGCCCAAUCGAAGAGCUCACAGGAAAACCUGGACUUCCACCCAUCAACCACUAGGAUGCGCUCUCCACCACUUACUGUAAGAGCUGGGACAAGGACCCAGAGCUCCAGAGAGACACAAUUCCUGACCAAUGCCCUGGCUGUAGCCUGGUGAGACCUGAGCAGAGGACCCUGCCAAGGGGUGGCUAGAAAGUGUGAGAUAAUAAAUGUGUCUGUUCACCUGGG